AAUUAAAUUCAAAAAGUUCUUGACUUUAGGUUUUUGAUUAUGGUAUAUUAAUUAGGUAAUUCAAAAUAAUAUUAGCGCGGGAUGGAGCAGUUCGG
rnacentral:ncRNA from 23 species